rnacentral:lncRNA from 1 species
UUGGUAGAUAAGUAUUUAAUAGUCAGUGCAACUCCAGACAGUUAAGGUCAUCUAUAUCAAAAUGGAGAUUACUUCUAGUAUCUUGUUGAAGUUGCAUGUGUCGACAUUCAAAACAAAUGACAGAUAAUAUCCAAAGAUUUUACCAAGAGGCUUUUGAUAUAAGUAAGAAAGGGAUGAAACUGUUACACUUAAUCUGCCUGGGGCUGGCUUUUAACAUUUCUAUAUUUUACUGUGAGAUCCUUAAUAACCCAGAGCUUUCCUGCACCUUGGUUAAUAUAACUUUUGAUAAGCCCAUCACAGAAUUUCACACACUGAAUAAAGAUUUAUAUAAAGACAGCAUCCUUAUCAUGAAGUUGCUUAGAGACAACCUAAUCUUAUGGACAUCAGACAGUGCAGGGAGGAACAUGAUGUGGCGUAAGGGCAGAAAACUAA